CGAUGCGGUAGACGCCAGAGCCAAGCACCAGGACGUGGGGCGUUCGGAAGUCGAGGUCAUGGGUGUUGCCCCAGUACGUCAGGUACAGACAAGCACAGACUGUACUAAGUCAGUAUGGAACUGGCAUGCUAAAAAUGGACCUGUGGAUCCUGGAACUUGUGAGCUAACGGCAGCAGACCAAACCACUGAUGGUGGUCCAGUUAUUUGGCUUGCUUUCUUCACACCAUGAUGGCACCAUCUGGAAUGUUUCAUCCUCUAGAACAUUAAAAGGUCUGGAUAACGGGAA